GACGAAGGUGGCGAGCGUUGUUCGGAAUCACUGGGCAUAAAGCGCACGUAGGCGGUGCCGUAAGUCGGAUGUGAAAUCCCUCGGCCUAACCGAGGAACUGCGUCCGAUACUGCGGUGCUUGAGGAUCAGAGGGGUGCAUGGAAUUUCCGGUGGAGCGGUGAAAUGCGUUGAUAUCGGAAGGAACUCCGGCGGCGAAAGCGAUGCACUGGCUGAUUUCUGACGCUGAGGUGCGAAAGCCAGGGGAGCAAACGGG
rnacentral:rRNA from 1 species